ACCUUCGGGCCUCUUGCCAUCGGAUGUGCCCAGAUGGGAUUAGCUAGUAGGUGGGGUAAAGGCUCACCUAGGCGACGAUCCCUAGCUGGUCUGAGAGGAUGACCAGCCACACUGGAACUGAGACACGGUCCAGACUCCUACGGGAGGCAGCAGUGGGGAAUAUUGCACAAUGGGCGCAAGCCUGAUGCAGCCAUGCCGCGUGUAUGAAGAAGGCCUUCGGGUUGUA
rnacentral:rRNA from 1 species